GGUACCGUCAAUGAUAAUACCUAUUGGAUAUUAUCAAUUUCUUCCCAAUUGACAGAGCUUUACGACCCAAAGGCCUUCUUCACUCACGCGGCGUUGCUGCGUCAGGGUUUCCCCCAUUGCGCAAAAUUCCUCA
rnacentral:rRNA from 1 species